rnacentral:rRNA from 1 species
UACGUAGGGGCAAGCGUUGUCCGGAAUCAUUGGCGUAAAGCGCGUGUAGGCGGUUCGGUAAGUCGGCUGUGAAAGUCCAGGGCUCAACCCUGGGAACUGGCCGGUCGCAUACUGCCGGACUAGAGUCGGAAGAGGCGAGUGGGAAGUUCCCGGUGUACGCGGUGAAAUGACGCAGAUAUCGGGAGGAACACCAAUGGCGAAGGCGAGC